rnacentral:rRNA from 1 species
CUGCCUCUACAUGCAAGUCGAACGGCAGCGGGAGAAAGCUUGCUUUCUUGCCGGCGAGUGGCGGACGGGUGCGUAAUGCGUAGGAACUUGCCCUGAAGAGGGGGACAACCCGGGGAAACUCGGGCUAAAACCGCAUAAUACUCUUUGGAGGAAAAAUGGCUACUUGUAGCUGUUGCUUUAGGAGAGGCCUACGUUAGAUUAGCUUGUUGGUAGGGUAAAAGCCUACCAAGGCUAUGAUCUAUAGCUGUUCUGAGAGGAAGAUCAGCCACACUGGGACUGAGACACGGCCCAGACUCCUACGGGAGGCAGCAGUAGGGAAUAUUGGACAAUGGGGGAAACCCUGAUCCAGCAAUGCCGCGUGUGUGAAGAAGGCCUGCGGGUUGUAAAGCACUUUUAAUGGGGAGGAAUAGUUCUAUGUUAAUAGCAUGGAGCAGUGACGUUACCCAUAGAAUAAGCACCGGCAAACUCUGUGCCAGCAGCCGCGGUAAUACAGAGGGUGCGAGCGUUAUCCGGAUUU